UACGUAGAAGACUAGUGUUAUUCAUCUUUAAUAGGUUUAAAGGGUACCUAGACGGUAUAAUUAGUCUUAAACAGGAUACGAUUAUACUAGAGUUAUAUAUGAGGAGGUGAGUAUUUAUGCAGUAGAGUUGAAAUUCGUUGAUAGCAUAACGACUGGAUUAACGGCGAAAGCAACCUUUUAUCUAAUAACUGACGUGAGGGACGAAGGCUUGGGAUAACGAACAGG
rnacentral:rRNA from 1 species